AAAUGUUGUUCUUUAACGUGUGUGGCCAUUUCUUACUCCCCUCUCUGCAAUAGCUUUUCCCCAGUGCAAGUUCAUGACAAGGAGGACGUAUGAGCAAAUAGGAGGGAUAUCCUUCAGCUUAGUAUGAGGUGGUACUUUGCUUUUGCGCAGAUCUGUUUAGAAGAACUUAAGGAUCCUGGUAAAUGAAAAACUUAACAUGAGCCAGUGGUGUGUACUGUCAGCCCAGGCCAACAACAUUCUGGGCUGCAUCUGAAGGGGGGUGGCCAGCAAGGACAGGGAAGUUAUUGUCUCCCUCUGCUCUGCCCUUGUGAAGCCCCGUCUGGAGUACCACAUCCAGGUCUGGGACCCCAGCUCAGGAAAGCAGCUUGCUGUAUUCCAUCUUCCAUUACACUGACAGCACUCCCUGAUGACCUGCAGCUACCACUGGCUGCUGGAUACCUGCCUCAAACAGGAGAGAAAGGAUUUGUUUUGCAUCUGAAGGAACAAGGCAGUAUUUUACAUAAUCAGCGUGCUGAUUAGAACUUCAUGCUGAGCAUCUUAUCAAGGAACCUGGAUUGCAUUCACGUGGCCCCUUACAGAGAGAACAAAUUCGGUUGUAUUUUUCUCCAGGGACAUGCAUAAUGAAUAAUCUCCUGGUACAGCAGAACAGGAAACAGCUACAGUUACUCCAUGUGCUGUAAUCUGACACAACCAUUAUUUAACAAUAAGAUGAAUUCUGAUAUAUCUGCCUUGAAAUUGUGAAAGGCUGCCCAAAAAUUUUCAGAGAAAAUUCAGCUAAGAACCAUUUUAUAUAUACUACAUCAUUCCAAAGUGUUCAUUGUAGACCUCUUUUCAUUCAGGACUGCAUGAGGACUUCUUUUAACCCUUGGUUAAUCCAAUUACACACUUUUCCAGCUUGCCUUGCUGUGUACCUUGGCCUUAGAGGUAAAAGGAGGCUGCAGCCAGGGCUGAACUUAUGGUGUGGGGCUGGGCCUCCUGCAGGAGCAUCACCCACAGCCUCAGCACUGAACAAACAGCAGCUGCAGCCCCACGUGCAUUUUAUGGGAAGGAACAAUCACUGUGUGGGGAGCAACAACAGAAAGGAUGCUGCGUUAGGAGAAUAAGAGAAAGAAAAACCAUGUAUGUUCUUCAGUACUAACGACUGAGCUUCUUUCUUUCCACAUCAGCUUUCUUCUCUGGCUCGUACUCAGCCUAUGAAAAGAACAUCCAGUGAUAAAUGCAGGAGUGGGGCUGACAUAAGUGUCUGGAUCCACCUCAACAAUAACAGAAGACAGAUAGGACUGCUGGAGAACACAGUGCAGAGCUACAAAGACGAUGGGGGCCUGGAGCAUCUCCCAUAUGCAGAAAGGUUGAGAGCCUUGGGGCUGUUCUGCCUGGGGAAGAGGAAACUGAGGGGGAAUCUCAUCAAUGCUUAUACAUAUCUAAAGGGUGGGGAGUCAAACAGAUGGGGCCAGGCUCUUUACAGUGGUGCCCAGUGACAGAACAAGGGGUGAAGGGCACAAACUGGAACACAGGGAGUUCCAGAUAAGCAUAAGGAAGAAUCUCUUUACUGUGAGGAUGACAGGGCACUGGUACAGGCUGCCCAGAGGGGUGGUGCGCUCUCCUUCUCUGGAGAUACUCAAACCCACCUGGAUGCUUUCCUGCACAGCCUGCUGCAGGGAACUGCUUCAGCAGCAGGGCUGGACUAGGAGAGCUCCAGAGGUCCCUUCCAGCCUUUAUAGUUCUGUGAAGACUACAGUCUUAAGAAGCUCUUGUGCACCAAAACACAUUCAGUUUGUUAUUUGUGAGCAAGACAGCGUGACUAACGAGGCGGUAACACACAGACCUUUGGUUUCACACGGCCAUGCAAUCACAACAGUGGUUCUAGUUAACUGAUUUUAGAACUUGACAGUGGAGCCUGGUUCCUUAACGCUUGCAAGGCACAGCAGGGCUAAUUCCAGAAGUUUGUCAGUCUCUAACACAAAUAAAACUGUGAAC
rnacentral:lncRNA from 1 species